rnacentral:rRNA from 1 species
UUUCGCAAUGCCCGAAAGGGUGACGAAGCGACGCCGCGUGGGUGAGGAAGGCCUUCGGGUUGUAAAGCCCUGUCAGGAGUUAAGAAAUGUAGAUACGCUAAUAUCGUAUCCAUUUGACAAAGGCUCCAAAGGAAGCCACGGCUAACUCUGUGCCAGCAGCCGCGGUAAUACAGAGGUGGCAAGCGUUGUUCGGAAUUAUUGGGCGUAAAGAGCACGUAGGGGGAUUUGUAAGUCAGACGUGAAAGCCUUCUGUUCAACGGAAGGAUUGCAUCUGAAACUGCAAACCUUGAGUAUAGGAGGGGAGAAUGGAACUUCUGGUGGAGCGGUGAAGUGCGUAGAUAUCAGAAGGAGCGCCGGCGGCGAAAGCGAUUCUCUGGCCUAUUACUGACACUCAGUGUGCGAAAGCUAGGGGAGCAAACGGGAUUAGAUACCCCGGUAGUCCUAGCCGUAAACGAUGGGCACUAAGUAGAGGGGUUUU